rnacentral:rRNA from 1 species
AUUGAACGCUGGCGGCAGGCCUAACACAUGCAAGUCGAACGGUAACAGAAAGCAGCUUGCUGCUUUGCUGACGAGUGGCGGACGGGUGAGUAAUGUCUGGGAAACUGCCUGAUGGAGGGGGAUAACUACUGGAAACGGUAGCUAAUACCGCAUAACGUCGCAAGACCAAAGAGGGGGACCUUCGGGCCUCUUGCCAUCGGAUGUGCCCAGAUGGGAUUAGCUAGUAGGUGGGGUAAAGGCUCACCUAGGCGACGAUCCCUAGCUGGUCUGAGAGGAUGACCAGCCACACUGGAACUGAGACACGGUCCAGACUCCUACGGGAGGCAGCAGUGGGGAAUAUUGCACAAUGGGCGCAAGCCUGAUGCAGCCAUGCCGCGUGUAUGAAGAAGGCCUUCGGGUUGUAAAGUACAUUCAGCGGGGAGGAAGGGAGUAAAGUUAAUACCUUUGCUCAUUGACGUUACCCGCAGAAGAAGCACCGGCUAACUCCGUG